UACAGAGGGGGCAAGCGUUGUUCGGAAUUACUGGGCGUAAAGGGCGCGUAGGCGGCCUGUUAAGUCGAACGUGAAAUCCCCGGGCUCAACCCGGGAACUGCGUCCGAUACUGGCAGGCUUGAAUUCGGGAGAGGGAUGCGGAAUUCCAGGUGUAGCGGUGAAAUGCGUAGAUAUCUGGAGGAACACCGGUGGCGAAGGCGGAUCGCUGGGCCUUACCUGACGCUGAGGCGCGAAAGCUAGGGGAGCAAACAGG
rnacentral:rRNA from 1 species